rnacentral:misc_RNA from 1 species
UAUGAAGACGUAGCGAAAUGCGAUACGUAAUGUGAAUUGCAGAAUUCAGUGAAUCAUCGAGUCUUUGAACGCACAUUGCGCCCCCUGGUAUUCCGGGGGGCAUGCCUGUCCGAGCGUCAUUGCUGCCCUCAAGCACGGCUUGUGUGUUGGGCCUCCGUCCUCCUCCCGGGGGACGGGCCCGAAAGGCAGCGGCGGCACCGCGUCCGGUCCUCGAGCGUAUGGGGCUUCGUCACCCGCUCUUGUAGGCCCGGCCGGCGCUUGCCGACACAUCAAUCUUUUUUCCAGGUUGACCUCGGAUCAGGUAGGGAUACCCGCUGAACUUAAGCAUAUCAAUAAGCGGAGGA